GUCUACGGCCAUGCCACCCUGAACAAGCCUGAUGUCUGACCUCGGAAGCUAAGCAGGGUUGGGCCUGGUUAGUACUUGGAUGGGAGACCACCUAGGAAGAUCAGGUGCCAUAGGUA
rnacentral:rRNA from 1 species